rnacentral:misc_RNA from 1 species
UAUUUAGAGAGGAAUCCGUUCAGAGUGGACCAGCGCUUAACUGCGCGGACUGCUCUGGGCAGCCGAUUCCUCUUCUACUAUAAACACACUGUUUUCUUGGGGAGGGUACUGGUUUGGGCUGCCUUUCGGCGGCUCGCUUCGGGCCCCUCUUCUUUUUUAAACCAAAAUUUUACAAUUUUGUAUUUCUUUAAAAUUCAUGUCAAGAAUUAUUACUUUCGAGUAAACAAAAAUUCAAAACUUUCAGCAACGGAUCUCUUGGUUCUCGCAUCGAUGAAGAACGCAGCGAAUUGCGAUAAGUAAUGUGAAUUGCAGAUUUUCGUGAAUCAUCGAAUCUUUGAACGCAUAUUGCACUCUAUGGUAUUCCGUAGAGUAUGCCUGUUUGAGCGUCAUUUCUCUCUUAAACCCUUGGGUUUAGUAUUGGAAGAUGUAGGCGGCUUUUCGGAGCAGCCCACCCUUCUGAAAUGACUAGGCGGUAACCGACAGCUAAUUUAUUCCACGGUUAGGCUUUAAUAUUAGGUUUUACCACUUAUUAAAUACCCUUUUCCACUGGAUAGCGGUCUGGAGUGUCGCCGAAACAAAAUUUCAUAACACAAAUUUGACCUCAAAUCAG